AUUGAACGCUGGCGGCAGGCCUAACACAUGCAAGUCGAGCGAGCGGCGGACGGGUGAGUAAUGGCAGGGAAUUGCCCCGUCGAGGGGAAUAAUAGAUGGAAACUACUGCUAAUAACGCAUACGACUGUAGUGCCCAGGUGGGAUUAGCUAGUUGGUGAGGUAAUGGCUCACCAAGGCGACGAUCCCUAGCUGGUCUGAGAGGAUGAUCAGCCACACUGGAACUGAGACACGGUCCAGACUCCUACGGGAGGCAGCAGUGGGGAAUAUUGCACAAUGGGUGAAACCCUGAUGCAGCCAUGCCGCGUGUGUGAAGAAGGCCUUCGGGUUGUAAAGCACUUUCAGCGAGGAGGCGUUACUCGCAGAAGAAGCACCGGCUAACUCCGUGCCAGCAGCCGCGGUAAUAC
rnacentral:rRNA from 1 species